AUUGAACGCUGGCGGCAGGCCUAACACAUGCAAGUCGGACGGUAGCACAGAGGAGCUUGCUCCUCGGGUGACGAGUGGCGGACGGGUGAGUAAUGUCUGGGGAUCUGCCCGAUAGAGGGGGAUAACCACUGGAAACGGUGGCUAAUACCGCAUAACGUCGCAAGACCAAAGAGGGGGACCUUCGGGCCUCUCACUAUCGGAUGAACCCAGAUGGGAUUAGCUAGUAGGCGGGGUAAUGGCCCACCUAGGCGACGAUCCCUAGCUGGUCUGAGGGGAUGACCAGCCACACUGGAACUGAGAGACGGUCCAGACUCCUACGGGAGGCAGCAGUGGGGAAUAUUGCACAAUGGGCGCAAGCCUGAUGCAGCCAUGCCGCGUGUAUGAAGAAGGCCUUCGGGUUGUAAAGUACUUUCAGCGGGGAGGAAGGCGAUAAGGUUAAUAACCUUGUCGAUUGACGUUACCCGCAGAAGAAGCACCGGCUAACUCCGUGCCAGCCGCCGCCGUAA
rnacentral:rRNA from 1 species